GAUGAACGCUGGCGGCGUGCCUAAUACAUGCAAGUCGAGCGGACAGACGAUGCUCUUGCUCCUCUCUCGUUAGCCGCACGCGUGUGAGUAACACGUGUAUACCCUACCUGUCAUACUGGUAUAACUUCGGAACACCGGCGCUAAUCCCGGAUAAUCUCUUGAACCACGUGGGUGGAUGGUAAAAUACGGUUGUGCUGUCUCUUCUCGAUGGAUACGCGCCGCAUGAGCUAGUUGGGAAGGUAAAGGCUUUCCAAGGGAACGAUGCGUAGCCGACCUGAGAGGGUGAUCGGCCACACUGGAACGGAGACACGGUCCAGACUACUACGGGAGGCAGCAGUAGGGAACCUUCCGCAAUGGGCGAAAGCAUGACGGAGCAACGCCGCGUGAGUGAUGAAGGUCUUGGGAUCGUAAAACUGUGUUAUUAGGGAAGAACAAAUGUGUAAGGAACCAUGCACGUCGUGACGGUACCUAAUCAGAAAGCCACGGCUAACUACGUG
rnacentral:rRNA from 1 species